rnacentral:tRNA from 1 species
AUCUUUAGCUCAAUGGUUAGAGCCCCCGACUCAUAAUCGGUAGGUUGUAGGUUCGAGUCCUACAAGAUCC